rnacentral:rRNA from 1 species
CAGCCGUAAACGAUGCGCGUUAGGUGUAUCGACGACCACGAGUCGUCGAGGUGCCGAAGGGAAACCGUGAAACGUGCCGCCUGGGAAGUACGGUCGCAAGGCUGAAACUUAAAGGAAUUGGCGGGGGAGGCACCACAACAGGUGGAGCCUGCGGUUUAAUUUGGACUCAACGCCGGAAAUCUCACCGGAUAAGACAGCAGAAUGAUUGCCGGGCUGAAGACUCUGCAUGACUAGCUGAGAGGUGGUGCAUGGCGUCAGUGACU